rnacentral:lncRNA from 10 species
AUUUGUUUCAAUAUUUUUUCCCUCCUUAACCUGAUGGUCAUUUAGGAGCAUGUUGUUCAUUUCCAUGUAUUUUUAUAGCUUCCAAAAUUCCUCUUGUUAUUGAUUUCUAGGUUUAUUCCAUUGCGGUCUGAGGAGAUAUUUGAUAUGAUUUCAAUUUUUUUUUUUUUAAGACAGAGUCUAGCUCUGUAACCAAGGCUUGCGUGAAGUACUGUGAUCAUGACUCACUACAGUUCAACCUUCAAGGCUCAAGUGAUCCUCCCACCUCAGCCUCCCAAGUAGCUGGGACCAAAGGCAUCUGCAAAAUGUAGCCAGUUACUGCUGUCUUGUUGAAGCAACCAUACAAGGUUCCAAGCAAACAGCUUCAUAUCCUCAGACUGUGGAAGCAUCAAAAUUAUUGAGUAAUCCACAAUGAAUAUCCACUGUUACUGGUGUUACUUUAGAGAUAUAUUCCAUUCUUCACUUAAGAAAACGAGAGGAUUAUUUUGGUCCAGUAGAAUUUCAUCUUUCACUUUCUUUCUGGUAUACAUCAGUUGUUAUCAAUCCUGCCAAAAUUCUGUAUUUCAGUAAUUAUUUUCUUCCUAUUUCUCUUCUGCACCCAUUCUCAUUACAUCAAUGGGCUAAAUCACAGCCAAUUGACUAUGCUUUAGUAUGAGUUUUCAUAUUCAGUGAAUCAGAAAUGUAUAAUACAGAAAUUGGAAUUAACAAUGUUUUAAGAAUGCAAAACAGAAAAGACAGCUACAUGCGUUUUUGCAGUAUUUAUGUAUUUAUUUAUUUAUUAUACUUUAAGUUCUGGGAUAAAUGUGCAGAAAGUGCAGGUUUGUUACAUAGGUAUAUAUGUGCCAUGGUGGUUUGCUGCACCUAUCAACCCGCCAUCUACGUUAGGUAUUUCUCCUAAUGCUAUCCCUGUCGGGGGGUUUGGGAACAAGGGGAGGGAUAGCAGAAUCUCUGGGACACAGCUAAAGCAGUGUUCAGAGGGAGAUUUAUAGCACUAAAUGCCCACAGGAGAAAGCAGGAAAGAUAUAAAGAACUAGAGAAGCAAGAGCAAACAAAUUCAAAAGCUAGCAGAGGACAAGACAUAACUAAGAUCAGAGCAAAACUGAAAGAGACAGAGACACGAAAAACCCUUCAAAAAAGCAAAGAAUCAGACCUGGUGUGGUGGCUCACGCCUGUAAUCCCAGCACUUUGGGAGUCUGAGGCAGGCGGAUCACCUGAGGUCAGGACCACCUCACCUGAGGUUGAGACCAGCAUGACCAACAUGGAGAAACUCCAUCUCUACUAGAAAUAUAAAAUUAGCUGGGCAUGGUGGCACAUGCCUGUAAUCCCAGCUACUCAGGAGGCUUUGGCAGAGGAAUCUCUUGAACCUGGGAGGCGGAGGUUGC